rnacentral:rRNA from 1 species
GACGAACGCUGGCGGCGUGCUUAACACAUGCAAGUCGAGCGGUAAGGCCCCACUUGUGGGGUACACGAGCGGCGAACGGGUGAGUAACACGUGAGUAAUCUGCCCUUCACUCUGGGAUAAGCACCGGAAACGGUGUCUAAUACCGGAUAUGACACUCCUUGGCAUCAGGUGGGUGUGGAAACUUUUUUGGGUGGGGGAUGUGCUCGCGGCCUAUCAGCUUGAUGGUGGGGUAAUGGCCUACCAUGGCGUCGACGGGUAGCCGGCCUGAGAGGGUGACCGGUCACACUGGGACUGAGACACGGCCCAGACUCCUACGGGAGGCAGCAGUGGGGAAUAUUGGACAAUGGGCGGAAGCCUGAUCCAGCAACGCCGCGUGAGGGAUGAUGGCCUUCGGGUUGUAAACCUCUUCCAUCACCGACGAAGCCUCCUUCUUUGGGUUGGGGGUGACGGUAGGUGGAGAAGAAGCACCGGCCAACUACGUGCCAGCAGCCGCAGUAACAC